rnacentral:rRNA from 1 species
AGAACGAACGCUGGCGGCAGGCUUAACACAUGCAAGUCGAGCGCCCCGCAAGGGGAGCGGCAGACGGGUGAGUAACGCGUGGGAACGUACCUUUUGCUACGGAAUAACUCAGGGAAACUUGUGCUAAUACCGUAUGUGCCCUUCGGGGGAAAGAUUUAUCGGCAAAGGAUCGGCCCGCGUUGGAUUAGCUAGUUGGUGAGGUAAAGGCUCACCAAGGCGACGAUCCAUAGCUGGUCUGAGAGGAUGAUCAGCCACACUGGGACUGAGACACGGCCCAGACUCCUACGGGAGGCAGCAGUGGGGAAUAUUGGACAAUGGGCGCAAGCCUGAUCCAGCCAUGCCGCGUGAGUGAUGAAGGCCCUAGGGUUGUAAAGCUCUUUCACCGGUGAAGAUAAUGACGGUAACCGAAGAAGAAGCCCCGGCUAACUUCGUGCCAGCAGCCGCGGU